rnacentral:piRNA from 1 species
UCACUCGGAUGGAUUGACAGCAGAGC